UGACUGCUAUCGGAUUGAUACUAAGCCAUGCGAGUCAUUGUAGUAAUACAAGGCAGACGGCUCAGUAACGCGUAGUCACCUAACCUAUGGACGGGAAUAACCUCGGGAAACUGAGUAUAAUGCCCGAUAGAACAUUAUGCCUGGAAUGGUUUAUGUUCCAAAUGAUUUAUCGCCGUAGGAUGGGACUGCGGCCUAUCAGUUUGUUGGUGAGGUAAUGGCCCACCAAGACUAUUACAGGUACGGGCUCUGAGAGGAGUGGCCCGGAGAUGGGUACUGAGACACGGACCCAGGCCCUAUGGGGCGCAGCAGGCGAGAAAACUUUGCAAUGUGCGAAAGCACGACAAGGUUAAUCCGAGUGGUUUCUGCUAAAGGAACCUUUUGCCAGUCCUAGAAACACUGGUGAAUAAGGGGUGGGCAAGUUCUGGUGUCAGCCGCCGCGGUAAAACCAGCACCUCAAGUGGUCAGGAUGAUUAUUGGGCCUAAAGCAUCCGUAGCCGGCUCUGUAAGUUUUCGGUUAAAUCUGUACGCUUAACGUACAGGCUGCCGGGAAUACUGCAGAGCUAGGGAGUGGGAGAGGUAGACGGUACUCGGUAGGAAGGGGUAAAAUCCUUUGAAUCUAUUGAAUGACCACCUGUGCGCGGAAGGCCGGUCUACCAGAACACCGUCCGGACAGGCCAAGGGUAUGGAAAGGCUGGGGGGAGCAAAACCGGGAUUA
rnacentral:rRNA from 1 species